CUGUUGAAUCUGCUGAGGAUUCUCAGAAUCAGGCAACUUCCUACGAUGAUUCCCCUUGUUGCAAUGGCAGGUCUGAAGAUUCCACUAACAGCAGGAAGAAACUUGCUUCUAAGGAAAAGAGAGGAUGUUACAAGAGAAGGUAACUAAAACACACACACCACAUGUUAAUUGGAUGUUCAUACAUAGAUUCUGAUGUUAAUGGGAUGUUUUUGCUUGCAGGAGAGAUGAACAUGCAUGGACAGUAGUUUCUUCAACCGUGGAAGAUGGUCAUGCAUGGAGAAAAUAUGGACAAAAGCAGAUCCUUAAUUCUAAGCACCCAAGGUAUAUUAUUCAUUUUGCAAUUUAUCCCAAAAAAAAUCUUAAAGCCACUAUGGCAAGUGCUUAAGUGCUUCAAUUAUCAUGAAUAGGAGUUACUUUAGGUGCCCUCGCAAGUACGAUCAAGGUUGUAGGGCCACUAAACAAGUCCAAAGACUGGAAGAUGAUGGCUCCCAAAUGUUUCAGACCACUUACAUUGGAACCCAUACCUGCAGACCAGACUCAUUCAAGGCUCCCCAAAUCAUCAUAGAUUCUGAACCUCGGGAAUCUUACAGCAAGUUCAGUUAUGGCAGCAGCAACCCCAAAAUGCCAACCAAAAAGCUGCACGAAAUCACUCCACCUGUAAAGCAGGAAACCAAAGAAGAAACACCAACAACAAGUGGUCUUACAGACAUGGAUUCUGUUGUGAUGUGGAAAGACAUGAUAGGUGCUGAAUACGGGGAUGUGGCCUCUAACGUGUAUACGAGCACUGAAAUCACUUCCCAGAAUUUGGAACUGGACCUUGUAAUUAAGCCUGUAGAGUUCGAAGACGAUUUUCAGUUUGAUGAAAGUGAGUUCGUCUAGUCAUCAUCAUAUUAACUGUAUCUACGAUAGUUUGUAAUCAGUAAUGUGGAAUAAUAAUAAUAACCAUUGAAACCUUCUCUAGGUGUGCAAAUCUGUUUUCCUUCGAAUUAUAGGAGGUACUUGCUGGACAUCAUCGUAUUGUCCACCGUAAUCAAUGCAUUCGUGGAAUUUUUCUCGAUUUAUUAAUGUGAAGCAAUAAUGUCAUGG
rnacentral:lncRNA from 1 species